UGCGAAAGCAGGUCAUAGUGAUCCGGUGGUUCUGAAUGGAAGGGCCAUCGCUCAACGGAUAAAAGGUACUCCGGGGAUAACAGGCUGAUACCGCCCAAGAGUUCAUAUCGACGGCGGUGUUUGGCACCUCGAUGUCGGCUCAUCACAUCCUGGGGCUGAAGUAGGUCCCAAGGGUAUGGCUGUUCGCCAUUUAAAGUGGUACGCGAGCUGGGUUUAGAACGUCGUGAGACAGUUCGGUCCCUAUCUGCCGUGGGCGCUGGAGAACUGAGGGGGGCUGCUCCUAGUACGAGAGGACCGGAGUGGACGCAUCACUGGUGUUCGGGUUGUCAUGCCAAUGGCACUGCCCGGUAGCUAAAUGCGGAAGAGAUAAGUGCUGAAAGCAUCUAAGCACGAAACUUGCCCCGA
rnacentral:rRNA from 4 species